UGUUGUGUAACCGCUGGGUCGUUUUGGGGAUGCUCGUUAUGUUUUCUUUUUCCUUGACGUUUCUUCUGACCGAUCAAUGAUCUGAACUUGAAGUAGGUUUCAGGUGGUACAAAAAUCAAUUCGGUUUCACUUCAUACUCAACAGCUUUCAGCACUGUCAUCCAGCGCCGCCAUAAGCAGCACGGCACA